AUUGAACGCUGGCGGCAUGCCUUACACAUGCAAGUCGAACGGUAACAGGUCUUCGGAUGCUGACGAGUGGCGAACGGGUGAGUAAUACAUCGGAACGUGCCUAGUAGUGGGGGAUAACUACUCGAAAGAGUGGCUAAUACCGCAUGAGAUCCACGGAUGAAAGCAGGGGAUCGCAAAACCUUGUGCUACUAGAGCGGCCGAUGGCAGAUUAGGUAGUUGGUGGGAUAAAAGCUUACCAAGCCGACGAUCCGUAGCUGGUCUGAGAGGACGAUCAGCCACACUGGGACUGAGACACGGCCCAGACUCCUACGGGAGGCAGCAGUGGGGAAUUUUGGACAAUGGGCGCAAGCCUGAUCCAGCAAUGCCGCGUGCAGGAUGAAGGCCUUCGGGUUGUAAACUGCUUUUGUACGGAACGAAAAGCCCUGGGUUAAUACCCUGGGGUCAUGACGGUACCGUAAGAAUAAGCACCGGCUAACUACGUGCCAGCCGCCGCGGUAA
rnacentral:rRNA from 1 species